UACGGAGGGAGCUAGCGUUGUUCGGAAUUACUGGGCGUAAAGCGUACGUAGGCGGUGAUUCAAGUCAGAGGUGAAAGCCUGGAGCUCAACUCCAGAACUGCCUUUGAAACUAGAUCGCUAGAAUCACGGAGAGGUGAGUGGAAUUCCGAGUGUAGAGGUGAAAUUCGUAGAUAUUCGGAAGAACACCAGUGGCGAAGGCGGCUCACUGGACGUGUAUUGACGCUGAGGUACGAAAGCGUGGGGAGCAAACAGGAUUAGAAACCCUUGUAGU
rnacentral:rRNA from 1 species